GUGCCUGUAGCCUAAUUGGUAAAGGAAGCACUCUAGAAUGUGUUUCAGCAUGGCUGAGGUUGUGAGUUCAACUCUUUCCAGACACA
rnacentral:tRNA from 1 species